AGGGGUGUAACUCAGUGGUAGAGUGCUUGCCUCGCAUGUGUGAGGCCCUGGGUUCAAUCUCCAGCAACACAC
rnacentral:tRNA from 1 species